rnacentral:rRNA from 1 species
AUUGAACGCUGGCGGCAGGCCUAACACAUGCAAGUCGAGCGGAGCGGCGGACGGGUGAGUAAUGCCUAGGAAUCUGCCUGGUAGUGGGGGAUAACGUCCGGAAACGGGCGCUAAUACCGCAUACUAUCAGAUGAGCCUAGGUCGGAUUAGCUAGUUGGUGGGGUAAAGGCCUACCAAGGCGACGAUCCGUAACUGGUCUGAGAGGAUGAUCAAUCACAACUGAAACGAGAAACGGUCCAGGACCCUUAGGGAGGCCGGAGGGGGGAAUAUUGGACAAUGGGCGAAAGCCUGAUCCAGCCAUGCCGCGUGUGUGAAGAAGGUCUUCGGAUUGUAAAGCACUUUAAGUUGGGAGGCGUUACCAACAGAAUAAGCACCGGCUAACUUCGUGCCAGCAGCCGCGGUAAUUC